ensembl:lncRNA
GGGGGUUUGCCAAAGUGCAAAAGAGGCCAUCUGAGAAAUGUUGUGCUUGGGUCAAUUUUUUAGCUCGUGGGUGCAGCGAAGAAACAGCUCGACCAGUUCUAAAUAUACCGUCCUUGACAGACGUGAAAUAAGUCCACUGAUUGAAAUAGCUGCCUAGUUCCCAGUUUGAGAUCUUACUGUAUAACAUCAGCGCUUGGCUGCCCCUCUGGUAAACUUGGAGAAGAACCGAUUUCCAUUUUGCUCCUUUUGAAAUGAAAGGCGUUUGAGGAUUGUCAUUCAGCAGGAAUGUACCAAUUCUAAGAACUUCUAAACAAGGCUCGCUUCAUAAUGAAUGGCAGCGGGAGCCUGGAUUUAUGAUCAUUUAAAUGAAUAUGGUAGGAAGGAAAGUAUCAAGGUUACCGACUGGAUUCCUGGAGCAGAUGAGUAGACCUUCAUGGCCAGACAACAGAGCAAGCUGACGAAGUCCAUGUAGCCAACUCUGCAGUCAAAACCAAAGUGCUGGGACUCAGAAGGUCUCGCUUCUUAAUUUAACUGCGUGUAAACAAAGAAAUGCUGUUGGCCCUAUUAAUCUCAGCGCAGGCCUGAGGGAUAAUGGCAGAUGACUCAUGGACCAGACACCAGUGACAACGCAUUACUCCGUGUCUGUUGGCCAAGUGCUACUGACUGAAAUCACUGGCUCUACCUCAAUUCACUGCAGCAAAGUGUCUGGUCUUGCUUGGAUUUGCUUGAGAAAUGACCUUUAUUUUUCUUAUCCGCAUUCUCACCUUAUGCAGUCUCCAUGUGUGUGCCAAAGUCACCUCCCCUGCAAGGGUGGACAGAUUUAGAGAUGCUCAAAAUGGCACAGCAGGUUCACAGACAUCUCUUAUCUCCAUAAAACUCCUAGAGAGCAUCCAGAGGAGGGCUAAGAAGAUGGUGAAGGUUCUGGAGGAUUCUUUCCAACUCAAGGUAUUCUGUGAUCCUAAAAGAGGGGCAGCAGCCAGCAAGGAUGGAAUCAUCACAAAGGGGAGAAAUUGCACUUAAUGGGAGGCAGCCAGGGUGCUUGGUGCACUUAUCACACUUGCCUGCAUCAUACUGCUUUCUCCUCUGCCUCUGCUUUUCCACAUGAGGACUCUGCUACGUGAAGGCCAAGGUAAGAGGAGGUGACUGCUUUUGAACAAAGAAUGUGUGGUGCUGAGUUUUCCCAAGGAGAUGGGCAAAGCCUAUGGCAUGGAGCAGGAGGAGCUGAGGGCAGUGGAGCUUCUACCCUGUAGAACAGGGAACUCCUGAAGUUGCCAGUCCUACAACAAGUGUUUAGAGGAAGCUGAUUGGGCUGGGGGCUUUCACAAAACACAUGUCCAAACUAGAAGUGUCUGAGAGUGCACCAGCAG